rnacentral:lncRNA from 1 species
AAGGGACCCCAGGGAGGUAGCCCCUUCUACCAUGUGUGGACACAGCAAGAAGGCAGCAUCUAUAAGCUAGGAAGGAGGCCCUCACCAGACUUGGAAUCUGCUGGCUUCCUGAUCUUGGCCUUUCUAGCCUCCAGAACUAUGGGUGAAAGCUGUGGAAGAAUACAGACUGACCAGGAACCCCACCCUAAGGAAGAGACCAUAAUCACCAUGAGUGUGGGGACCAUGACGAUUAUUUUACAAAUCUUCAGCUUCUGGCUCAAUACAGGAUGUGAAGUUAAUGCUCAAUAAAUCUGUAACGGUAGAGUUAACGAAUGAAAA